CCUACGGGCGGCAGCAGUGAGGAAUAUUGGUCAAUGGGCGGGAGCCUGAACCAGCCAAGUCGCGUGAAGGAAGAAGGUCCUUAGUAUUGUACACUUCUUUUGUCGGGGAACAAAGGCGGAGACGCGUCUCCGGAUGAGUGUACCCGAUGAAAAAGCAUCGGCUAACUCCGUGCCAGCAGCCGCGGUAAUACGGAGGAUGCGAGCGUUCUCCGGAUUUAUUGGGUUUAAAGGGUGCGCAGGCGGGAGAUCAAGUCAGCGGUAAAAUGUUGGGGCUCAACCCCGGCCGGCCGUUGAAACUGGGUUUCGAGAGUGGGAGAGAAGUAUGCGGAAUUCGUGGUGUAGCGGUGAAAUGCAUAGAGAUCACGAAGAACACCGAGUGCGAAGGCAGCAUACCGGCUCCAUUCUGACGCUGAGGCACGAAAGCGUGGGGAUCGAACAGGAUUAGAUACCCGAGUAGUC
rnacentral:rRNA from 1 species